AAUUUGGCAACCCUCUUUGUAAGGGUGUUUUUAAAGGUAAAAUAGUAGUUGAAAUGCUCCAAGUUUUAAGAAAAAUUACCCAUUAAAUAAAAAGCCUCCUUUUAAUGUCAAGAAAAGGUUCAUCUCUGCCGCAUAGGGCCAAAUGGGUUAUUCCCCCUUGAGGCUUCUUCAGGGAAUACCAAACAUCACCUGGGGAAGGCUAGGGUUGAAAAUCCAAUUAAAUAUUGAGAAUGGGAAAGUUUUUGCUAAAAUGACUUAGCAGGGCUCUUACUGAACCUGAAGAGCACAGAUGGACCUAGGAGAAGCUUCAGGAGCCUAAGUUUGAUCAGGCAAAGAAUCUUUAUCAAAACCAAAAAUCUUUGUUUUCAUCAGAACCUGGAUCACAUACCUCUGUCUUCCGCUAAGAUAUUAUACAAUCAAUCUGGGAUGGAAUUUUAUGCUUCCUUUACAAUUUAACAUUUAUAUUUUAUGGCUUAAUUUGACCUCAAAUAAUAUAUGCAUUUGCAGCUAUGUGAAAUAUUAAAUGGCUUCUUGUG
rnacentral:lncRNA from 1 species